rnacentral:rRNA from 1 species
UAAAUGUUAAUUUUUUAUUUGUUGGUAUUGCAUAUCAUUUAAGGAAAAUUUUAUUAAAAUAAAAUAUAGAAUUAAAAGGUAGAAAAUUUUUUGUUUUUAUUGUUUCAUAAUAAAAAUUAAAAAUUUUAGGGUUGAAAAGUCGACUUUUAAGAUAUCUGUAUAAAAAGUUUUAUUAGAAAUUUAUAAAAGAUUUUAAGUUAUUUGUAAAUAGUAAAAGUUGAAGUAUUUUAAUUUUUAGUUUUAUAACUGUUUAUAAAUUUUUUAAUUAAAAAUUUUUUAAAGUAAUUGUUAAAUUUUUAACAAUUUUAUUAUUUUAAAAUUAGUAAAUUUUUUAAAUUUAAUUUUUUAUUUUAAUAUAAUAAAAUAACUAAAAAAUUAAUCAAAUGUUUUUUAAAGACUUAGACUUUUAUAUAAAGUUUGCUUCUGCCCAGUGAUUAUUAAAUGGCAGUCUUAGCGUGAGGACAUUAAGGUAGCAAAAUAAUUUGUGCUUUUAUUGAGUUCCAGUAUGAAUGAAGUUAUUGGUUAAUUAUUUUUUUAUUUUUAUAUUGAAUUUUAUAUAAGUAUAAAAAAAUACUUUUAUAGUUAUACAAAGAUAAGUCUUCGGAAAUUCUUUUAUAAAUUUAAUUUAAUAUAAAUUAAAUUUAUAAAUUUUCUAGGGCAGAAUUUUAUAUAAUUAAUAUUUCUAUUUAUAAUAUAAAGAAUUACUCCGGAGUUAACAGAAAAUCAUACCUAAUCUAGUUCUUAUAGUAAGGUAAGUUUUACAUCGAUGUUGUAUUUAAGUUUUUUAAAAAAGGAGAAGAUUUAAUUAUUAAGACUGUUCUUCUUUUAUUUAAUUUAACGUGAUAUUAGUUUAAUUCAUUGUGAGAUAGAAUUGUUUAUCUUGAUAAUUAUUAAGAAAUAAUUUUAAUAGUACGAAAGGAAAAUUAAAAAAAGUUUUAAACUUUAAAAGGUCUACCCUUA